GCUAGGCACUGCUCACCGUACUUCAGCUCCGUGUUUUUUUUUCCCGGCUUCGGGGAGUCGUGAUGAGAGCUAGUUUUUUGUCGGAGAACGGCCCUACCUGGGAGGCGGGGCAACGCUGUACAGGUCUCCCUGAUGGCAUUCACCAGGCUGCCUCCCGCCAUAGUUGUAUCCUGCUGGAAAGUAAAUUGAGGCACACAUUCAGAAAAUCAGGAUGUGGAUGUCACUUUUUCACUGAAGUUUUUAGGCCACGCACACGGACAAUGAAUGUCACCAGGCGAUUCAGCUCUGGAGUAGCCCAUGCGUUUUGACUUGUUGCUGGAGCUCUCUAGACACAUCUGCUGCCAUGAGAUGCCUCAGCCAAGGAUUUUGAGCCAAGACAUGAGGGAAAUGGUUUAACCAGAUGUGUGCCCAUGUCUGCAAAACAGAAUUUUAAGAUGCUGAAAUUUAAAAGCUUGCCAUCAUCUCUCCUGCCUCCCAGCAGCAAGGACCCCUGGGCCUCUCCAGUCAGUGUGCCUACAGGGAAGACUGAAAUCACUGAGAAUGGAAUCCAGUUCAUCUUCUGGCUCUCCAAAUACAGCAACAACAUUUAUGGUCUGAUCUUCAACAGCUUCCUUUGAGCACUAGAAUUUCCAGGUGCAUGUUUUCAGAGCACAAGCAACCUCUUGUCUGUCAUCUCUUGUUUAAACCAAAAAAACUGAAAAGUCAACUGUGAAAAUGUGGAAAAGAAAAGAAAAAAAAAAAAGGCCUUUGACAUUGAAACAAAGCUUCUUUAACUUGCCUAAUACAAAACAAAGUGGAAUUGUAACAAUGAAUUGAGGAGAUGUGGAUGGUAAAAGCAAGGUACUGGCAUUGGAGGUAAGGUAAAACCAGAUCCCAGCGGAAAGCAGUUGGGGGAAGAAGUUUAACAAGUUUGCUUUAUGUG